CGGAGCCGCCAGACCGUCGCGCCCCUGCCCCAUCGUAGUAUAUGAGCUCGCCUACACAAGGACCCGCGCUAAAAGCCAGAGCUCCCAGUCCCCGAGGCUUGAAGACGGGGACUCCCUUCUCCACCAACUCUGUCCUCGGGGGGUGGGGCCCCAGCCGAGAUCACAGCGCGACAGGAGUGGGGGUGGCCGCUGGAGACAGGUGAAGAAACAAGAAAACUAAGAAAUCCGAGCGGUUGGAGGGGGAGUCUGUGUGGAUGGGAUGGGGACGCCGGGGGAGGGGCUGGGCCGCUGCUCCCAUGCCCUGAUCCGGGGAGUCCCAGAGAGCCUGGCGUCGGGGGAAGGUGCGGGGGCUGGCCUUCCCGCUCUGGAUCUGGCCAAAGCUCAAAGGGAGCACGGGGUGCUGGGAGGUAAACUGAGGCAACGACUGGGGCUACAGCUGCUAGAACUGCCACCUGAGGAGUCAUUGCCGCUGGGACCGCUGCUUGGCGACACGGCCGUGAUCCAAGGGGACACGGCCCUAAUCACGCGGCCCUGGAGCCCCGCUCGUAGGCCAGAGGUCGAUGGAGUCCGCAAAGCCCUGCAAGACCUGGGGCUCCGAAUUGUGGAAAUAGGAGACGAGAACGCGACGCUGGAUGGCACUGACGUUCUCUUCACCGGUGAGGCUGGGGGGAGGCAUAGGUCUUGGCACAGGGAAGUAGAGUUUGGGAGACUCGGCCGUCUGGAGCCUUGUUUCUAACUCACUCCCGCCCUCAAACCUCCGCGGCCUCCCGGACUCAGGCCGGGAGUUUUUCGUAGGCCUCUCCAAAUGGACCAAUCACCGAGGAGCUGAGAUCGUGGCGGACACGUUCCGGGUGCGGAGCGGGACCAGCCUAGGGAGGGAGGGGGUGCAGGUGGGGGUCGGAAGGGCCUGGGCGCCCGCUGAGGAAAUGAGAGGCAGAGAGCAGCCUAUGUUUGAAGAUACCCCAUCACCCCUCCCGCGCCCCUGAAUACCUCCCUUCGCUCUCCCUAGGACUUCGCCGUCUCCACUGUGCCAGUCUCGGGUCCCUCCCACCUGCGCGGUCUCUGCGGCAUGGGGGGACCUCGCACUGUUGUGGCAGGCAGCAGCGACGCUGCCCAAAAGG
rnacentral:lncRNA from 1 species